UACGGGGGGGGGUAAGCGUUGUUCGGAAUUACUGGGCGUAGAGGGCUCGUAGGCGGCCAACUAAGUCGGACGUGAAAUCCCUCAGCUUAACUGGGGAACUGCGUCCGAUACUGGAUGGCUUGGAUUUGGGAGAGGGAUGCGGAAUUCCAGGUGUAGCGGUGAAAUGCGUAGAUAUCUGGAGGAACACCGGUGGCGAAGGCGGCAUCCUGGACCAAUAUUGACGCUGAGGAGCGAAAGCCAGGGGAGCAAAACGGGG
rnacentral:rRNA from 1 species